CCCUUAGAUGUUCUGGGCCGCACGCGCGCUACACUGACGGAUUCAACGAGCUUACAACCUUGGCCGAAAGGUCUGGGUAAUCUCCAAAAUCCGUCGUGAUGGGGAUAGAUUAUUGCAAUUAUUAAUCUUCAACGAGGAAUGCCUAGUAAGCGCAAGUCAUCAGCUUGCGUUGAUUACGUCCCUGCCCUUUGUACACACCGCCCGUCGCACCUACCGAUUGAAUGUUUCGGUGAAGAUUCCGGACCGCGACGCCAGAGCGCUUCACGGCGCCCUGGUCGCGGGAAGUUGUCUAAACCUCAACAUUUAGAGGAAGGUGAAGUCGCAACA
rnacentral:rRNA from 1 species